UGGCAACAGCGAUAAGGGAACCUCGAGUGCCAGGUUACAAAUCUGGCUGUCGAGAUGCCUAAAAAGCAUUUCAUAGCAAGGGCCGGGCAAGACCGGUUCCAGCCGCCGCGGUAACACCGGCGGCUCGAGUGUUAACCGUUAUUAAUGGGUCUAAAUGGUCUGUAUCCGGCCGGAUAAGUCUCUUGAGAAAUCUGGCAGCUUAACUGUCAGGCUUUCAGGAGAUACUGUCU
rnacentral:rRNA from 1 species